UGGGGAAUAUUGCACAAUGGAGGGAACUCUGAUGCAGCGACGCCGCGUGAACGAAGAAGGCUUUCGAGUCGUAAAGUUCUUUUAUAUGGGAAGAUAAUGACGGUACCAUAAGAAAAAGCCCCGGCUAACUACGUGCCAGCAGCCGCGGUAAUACGUAGGGGGCUAGCGUUGUCCGGAAUCACUGGGCGUAAAGGGUUCGCAGGCGGAAAUGCAAGUCAGGUGUAAAAGGCAGUAGCUUAACUACUGUAAGCAUUUGAAACUGCAUAUCUUGAGAAGAGUAGAGGUAAGUGGAAUUUUUAGUGUAGCGGUGAAAUGCGUAGAUAUUAAAAAGAAUACCGGUGGCAAAGGCGGCUUACUGGGCUCAUUCUGACGCUGAGGAACGAAAGCGUGGGUAGCAAACAGG
rnacentral:rRNA from 1 species